GCUGCUUAUCUGACAAAUAAAACCAGCCACUCUGACUUUUUAUACAUUGUCAGCAACAAAUUUAUAAAUCAUAAUUGAUAAUGCUGCAUGCUUGUACUGUGAUGUGAGGCUCACUUCUUUCUUUUUCAGCGUCGCCCUUUUUUCUCGUGUUUUCAAACUUAUCAAACAAAAACCUAUUCACGUGUACAACUUUAUAUUUCUUACACUAUAGAAUCCCUUUAAAUCCACAACAUUUACCUAGUUCUCUUUGAAUAGGUUAAGACAAGUUGAUCAACAAGCAGAAAGCUCCCCUUAACAGUCCGAAGUCCAAGUGUAAAAGCAUGCAAGCGCCAUGGAUUGUGGUAUCUACAGGAGAUGUCGGAAAAAAAAGGUAACAAGAAACUAGGAAGUAAUGGAUACCUAUGCAAAACAUUUUUUAAAUGUGAUUCUACUGAUACGUUAAAAAAAAUGAUAUAUAUAUUGUUUGGGUUUAUUUUUUUUAUUUUAUUUUUCUAAAGAACACUUCAAGCAACAUAGCCACUACAGCCUGCUGUGGUGGUUAUGGUGCCGGGAAUGCCCAGGUACCCUCCCACAGUCAGAUGCCAAGCCAUUUUAGCAUGCAGGCAUGUAUAAAUGUUUAUAGUAUGUGUAAAUAAAAUGCAGGUGUGUGUUUGGGUGAGGCAAGUGUUUGAUUCUGAAUGUAUUUUUGUCUUUAAUAUUCACAAAUAAUCGCUUUCCAGUGAGUGAAAAUUUUCAGACUGAAACUUGCAGAUCAGGUUCAAGAAAAAAAAGAAUAAAACAACUAAUUUGCCUGACCUCCCUAGGCUGAAAUUGUGCGGAUACCACCAGCAGGCAAAUAUAUAUCCUUGUUACGACUCACUGUUAAUUCAUCCUCUAUUUGAGAUUUGUUUUACAUCUGUAAAAAAGCAGCUGGCAGUCUGCUCAGUAAAGGGGUUAUACUAACUGCAAGGAUUAAUCUUUAUAUUGAGCCAUAGGGAUCAGUCCAUUAUAUACAGCAGUUGAUUAAAGGGCCGUCAAGUACAUUGCUUGUUUUAAAUGGAAGGAGCAUAUCGCAAUAUGACAGUAAAAUACACAAGAUUCUUUACUAAACUGAGAAUUCAAAGUGAAUUUCAGAUUUAAGGCCAAAGUAGUUGCACUGAGAGCAUCACCGAUUUAGAGAAUAUUUCCAGUUCGACUAUUAUGACCUUAAAUGUAAAAUUCCUUUUAAAUUCACCUUGAAUUCUUACUAUAGUGAAUAAUCCUGACAUUCUUUAUUGCAGGAAACGUAUCUUACUUUAAGGAUCAACAGCAUUCACCAGGGAGAUAGAAACAGCUCAGUUCACAUGAAAGUCUACAUUGGUAACUGUAUAACAAUGUAUGUGCACAAUUCAUUACUUCUUCCUAGUGCACCCUGGUGAUAGGGUUGGUGAAAUCAGUGGCACCAGGAUGAAGACUUUGUAAGUCGAAUUGAUUUGUGCUUUUACCUACGUGGCCUUUUAUGUGGACAAGGACAUUGUUUCUGUUCCUCGUCUCUCUAUGCUCUCUUUAUGCUGACUAACAGGUACAAAGGGCCGAGCUUGUGACAAUGAUUGGCAGGGAGCCAUGACUGAGGCACGUAGUUCCAUGACCAAGGUAAAUACGGCAGUGUGGAUUUGUAGUACAUGUAAUCUUAUUUUUCAGACCUCACAAACACAUAUUUUUUAGAUAUAGGGGCUAAGUGAGAACAGUAUAAAAAAUCCUGGAAAGUGAAAUCCUCCCCCUUUGAAACCAUGUCUCCUGUGUCAUCUCUGGUGUCGUGGGUCAAGACACACGUUAACGCAGAGUGGAAAAUAACAGCUCUGAGCAACCUGUAAGGGUUAUUCUGUAAUGUCAGGAUUGUUGCAAUUCAAAGACAAUUUCAAAUUUAAGGACAAAAUAGUUUAUAAAAAAAAAAACACACAUUUAAAAUCACUUAUACUUCCAGGUCAGCUACUUUGGCCUUAAAUGUAAAAUUCACUUUGACUUCCAGACGAUUUUUAUUUUAGUGAAUAAUCCUGUAAGCUUAAAGGGACAUUAUAGUCACUAGAACUACAGCUUAAUGUAGUUGUUCUGGUAUCCAUACCAUGUCCCUGCAGGCUUUUUAAUGUAAACACUGCCUUUUUAUAGAAAAGGCAGUGUUUACAUUACUGCCUAGUGACACCCCUAGUGGCAGUCACUAAGAUGGCCACUAGAGGUGCUUCCUGUUGAUGGCAGCACUGACAUUUAGUUUCUCCUUGCCUUGCAAGACGCUGAGCAUUCUUUGAGAUGCAUAGAUUCAAUGCUUCUCUAUAAAGAGAUGCUGAUUAGAGCAGCGCUGUGCUUUGUCGCGCAUGCACAAUAGCCUCCCAGUGGUUUCCUAUGGAAAAAGCAAUGGAUUGGCAAAAUCAUCAAAAUUGAUGAUCUCAGCCAACGAGGCACAGCAUGGACAGGGCUAGCUGUGACAAGACCCGCGCCACACAUGAAAAAGGUAAGUAAAAUAUAUUUUUCACAAGGCGGGGGACAAGGUGGGUGAGGCACCUAAACAGUGUUUUCACACCCAUAGUGUCAGGAAUACAGGUUUGUAUUCUUGACACUAUAGUGUUCCUUUUACGAUAUCAUGGUACGGGUGCAUAGUCUGCAUCUUUUUAAUGUAUCCACUUUCAUUAAUUAAUAUUAUACUGUGCUCGUCUCAUGUUUACAUUUCUAUGUAUAAACCAGUGAACAUUUCUCCUGAUGGGCCUCAAUAUGUACAGUAGUGCAGCACAUUUAUCUGGAUUUAGUUAUUAUGGAUUGUUCACCUUUUAUAGCAACAGAACUUAGCUUCUAUUUCAGCACAUUCAUAUAGUCUGUGCUACAUCAUAAGGAACAUAAAACCAAACAAAAAAAAACACAAUGCAGCACCGUUGCAGGCUCAAACACAGAGUAAAUAAAUAGUUUUGUUUCAGUUAUCUGGAAUACAGAAAGCGAUAGGAUUAAAUAUUUGCUCACGGAGAUGCAGGUAUUGCAUCCAUAGUGUUUAUUGUAUUUAUUUUUCUUUCUUAAGUUCUUUGUCAUUGUUUGGAAAGUGUUUGGUGUUCAUUAUUCUGAUAGAUCACGUCGAGAGGUGAAGCCGAAGACUCUUUUUAUACUUUGUUUAAUUCUGUGCACGUUAUAGGAAGAUUGUCAUCAGCUAUUGCUCCCAGUUACAGAAAUCCCUGACUUUCACUUCUUGCUCGCCUUUUGUUGUCAGAAAUCAGCUGACGUACCCCAGAAAGUUGAGCCAGGCACCUGUUCUUUGGGGUUUUUUUUAAAAAAAGGUUCAAACUCUUAUCUAAUGCACAGGUCUACAAUGCACAGUCUUUUCAGACAAUGUUUCAUGAUCACCAGCCAGCUCACUCAGGACAAGAAUAUAAUUACACUGACAGACUACUUACUCCUGGGUUUAAGCAAUAAUUAACGUUGGUUAUUCCUAUCUAUCCUUCUCAAACAUUUUAACACUUUAGGUGUCCCGAGGCAUCAGUCUGCUGCUCUCCUCUUCUGCUCGGGGGAUGUGCCUAUUGCAAGAAAAGCAUAGAAAUAUACAUAUAUUUGCACCAUAACUUAACAUAACAUAGCUGGCUGCCAUGGAUAUGGUACUUGGAGUGUUCCUUUAAAUUGCUUGUCUCAUGCUCAGCUUUAGGACCCCUGACUUUUCUGGACUACUUACUUUGCCUUCUGCCAUUUUCUUUUUCUCUUGUGUUUACCAUCAUGUUUCUGCUCACGCUCAGGAAGUCUUUCUAUCUGUAGACCUUCUCUGGUGUUGCAUAUGCAAAAGCGUUUACCACAGUUGAUAUACAAAUCACCAUACGUUAUAACAAUCUCUCCUCUCACCACAGAGCUCCUUUAUUAUUUGCUUGAUAAUGUACAUUGAUCCUACAGCUUACAGAGCAUUUGCUAAUAGUAGGCAUUUCCAUAAUAUGCAGGACUCCAAACUGUCACACUUUUGGUAAGACAGUCUCGAUUUUGGGGUCCUGCCCAGCCAUCCAAAUUUAGUUCCCUGUGAAUUGUCAGAGCAUGCCAACGUCCUAGGCUUGUAGCCUUGAAGGCUUACCCACCUGUUUUGAUUUCAUACCAGCCAUUGUUCAGAAGUUUGCUAUUUGGUAAUGUGGUACAGAAGGUCUACAUAAAAAUUGCUUGGAGAAUAGGUUAUUAGUCAGGGCACAAAUCAAUAAAAAAUGUGUGUAUAUAUAUAUAUAAUUGUACUCAGGGACAAUAAGCAGAGUUAUAGUAGUAGUGGUGUAAGUUGGUUGUCUUGUGCUGAAACCAACAUUCGGGUAGGCCUGUAAAGAGAGGGUCCACCAAAAUGAAUGGCUUUAUAAGGGGAAUGGUGGGUGGGCUAAACCAAACUGUGUCGGCCCAGAGGAAGGGUCAGCCUGAGUGUUUAUAGGCCAGGUAACCCCUGCCACAAUUAAAGGCUCCACCUUAGACUUCACCGUUCUAUAUGUAUUCGGGACCAAUAAGCCGAGUUAUUGUAGUAGUGGUAACUUGGUUGUUGGUUGUGGUGUGCUGAAACCAACGUUCAGUUAGGACUGUAAAAAGAGGGCAAAAAGUUCAAAUGUUAACACUUUCAUACGUGUUGACAUUACUUAAGAGACAGAGAAAUUAAAUUAUACCACCAGGGAUAAUAUAUAAAACAUAAUUAGAUAAAUCAGUAGCUAAAUACAUAAUAUAAUAAUAAUAGUUCACAAAAAGGAGAUGAUAUAUAUAUGCAAAAGAAACCACUAAAUCGAGUGAAUCACUGAAUAAUAUUCAAAGAAACUGAGAAAACAUAAGGGAGUAACAUAAUAUACUGCAUAUAGAUUUAAUGUUGAGAAAACAGAUACAUUUAUUAAAUCAGUGAAAACAUUGUAACAACUAAAGGAAAGUUCCACUAAACUCCAAUCUGCACAGUGUUUUAAUCAUAAUAAAAUAAUCCUAGAUGUUUUCGGAAUCCAACAAAUCAAAACCAGAUCAGUAUAUACACUGCCAGAGCUACCAGGUGAAAAACUGGAACAGGGGUCAUUUCUUGCCCAUUUAACAAUAUCAUUCUACACAAACAGAGUUAAAUGACCAAUAUAGUGCCAGGAAAACAAACUCGUUUUCCUGGCACUAUAGAUAUAUUGUGGCCCCCCCUCCCGCUAGCACCGGGCUCCCUCAGUGCUGGUGACCUCUCCUCCCCCUGCGCGCGCAUUCAGACCACCCAUAGGAAAGCAUUACUUAUUGCUUUUCUAUGGACGUCCAGCGUGAGUUCAAUGCGAUUUUCUCUGAGACAGCCACUAGAGGCUGGAUUAACCCUCAAUGUAAACAUAGUCUCUCUGAAACUACUAUGUUUUCAGCUGCAGGUUUAAAACUAGGGAGACCUGGCACCCAGACAACUUCAUUGAGCUGAAGUGGUCUGGGUGCCUAUAGUGGUCCUUUAACACAUUAGGGACCAUCCCAGAUAUAUAGAUGAAGUGUGAGCCCUACUGGAAUUGACAUCGUCCAUCCACUUAAGUACAGUAAGGCAAUACUGACUUGGAAAUUAGAACGGUUUGGUAGAAUUUGCCCUUUUAAAGGUAAUAUUUUCUGCUGGCAUUUGGUUUUCCUACUUAGAAGGUGAGGAAGUUAAUAAUGAACUUUAGAGGAGGCUGAAGGUUAUUAAGAUAAGUGAUACAAUAUGUCCCUGCCUUUUUCAUUUGCUAGAUUAUAAUACAGAAAAGUUCUGCUUGAAAACCAAAAAGCAAGCACUGUGUCCAGAAACACUCUAGUCUUAUAGUCUUUUCCUUCAUAUAGGGGGAAAGCAUGACUAGACAAUGUUCCAGCUAUCAUGGAAAAUGGUUCCCACGAGGUCUUUUUAAUAUUCUACCUGUCUCUCUCUUGUCAUCUCCAGAGGAAUGCUUGCUCCCUCCCAAUUUUGUUCACCUGUUAUCAGAUUUGAACUCGAUUUACAUAUUUAGCUUGAGGAGAAUUCUCUAGUCUGGGACUCUCCAAAUAACAGAAAAAGAUUCUCAUGAAUGAAUAAUCCUUUUUAUAUAGCAAAUAAAUAACCCAAAACCCAUGUGCCUAUUUGGAAUGAGAUGGGGUUAUUGCUCUCACCAGUAUUCCUGGAUAUACAAUAUCUCUUUCACACACGGCUAUGGGUGUCCAUCAUUCCAGGUAUUACGUGCUUUCUGUAACACAAAACACACUAGGCCAUUGCUCUAAUUUCAUUUAAGGGUGAUUGUUCCAACCUGCAUGUAAUAUUACAGGAUCAUGAAUAAAUUACAUAUUUUAAUUUUUAAAUAGUUGUUCACUGAUUUUUUUUUCUCCAAACAUUGGAAAGAAGGCUACUCUAGCCAACUUUGACUAGCGGUAAAAAAGAACUUCCUGGGUUGUGCUGUCCCUUAUUGCUGGGCCUCAUUAUGUCAGAUGCUGCCAAUAGGUGCUAAGCUUUUUAUGAAUAUCACUUUGUAUGAAUACUGCAGAAGUGGUCUGUUAAUUUAAUUGUUUCAAUCAGAACUGCCAUAGAACUUAUGGGAUUCCAUUCUACAUCAAGUGGCUGGGACUACGCUUGGUACAAACAUUCCCAGACACCCAGACACACAAUUAAAUACUCACAAACACAUAGAUGCACAAUACCACAUACGCAGACACACAGAUACACAGUGCUGGACACAUACGCAGACACUCACUGCCAGAUAUACACUGUUAGAUACACACAUACUCCCAGACACACAAACUGUCAGACAUCCACAGAUACACACUGUUAAACACCCAGCCAGACCCAGACACUCAGUUAAAUACUCACAAACACGUAGAUUAACAAUACCACAUGCACACACAGACAGAUACACAAUGUUAGACACGUACCCAGAUACUCAAUGCCAGACACACACUGUUAGACACACAUAUACUCACAGCCACACAAACUUUCAGACACCCACAGAUACACACUGUUAACACACAACCAACAAAUAUGGGGAUUUAGUAACCACCCCUAGUUAGUGUAAGACCCAACGAUAUUGGGUUAUUACGGCUUAGUGGUGGGUUUAACACGAUACAGCCAUAUGGUGUAACUCAAGCAUGUCAAACUCGUGGGGACCGCAUGCGGCCCACAAUGAUUAUUUUUGCAGUCCACGAGCUUGACAUGCUUACUAAAACAGAGUAGGCACCUCCUCUCCCCACAUUGCAGGUGCCUACUCUGCUCAUUUACCCGGCCAGGCGAGAGGUCUCUGGCAGCAGCGAGGGAGCUCUACCUUCUUGCUCCUCACUGCUCCUGCGUGCCUUCUGAAGUGAAGCCGGACGCCGCAAUAUGAUGUCAUAUGCGCGCGCGGGAGCAGUGAGGAGCAAGAACGCUGAGCUCCCAAGAGAAGAUCAGGGAGAGGUCCCACACCAGCUCCCAAAGGUAUGGAGCAAUGAAUACAAUGAUGUGAGUGGGUGACUGUCAGUGCGUGUGUCUGUCACUGUGUGUGUGUGUGUGUCUGUCACUGUGUGUGUGUGUGUGACUGUCAGUGUGUGUGUGACUGUCACUGUGUGUGUCUGUCACUAUGUGUGUGUGUGUGUGACUGUCACUAUGUGUGUCUGUCACUGUGUGUGUGUGUGACUGUCACUGUGUGUGUGUGAGACUGUCACUGUGUGUGUGUGUGUGUGUGUGUGACUGUCAGUGUGUGUGUGUGUCACUGUGUGUGUUUGUGACUGUCACUGUGUGUGUCUGUCACUGUGUGUGUCUGUCACUGUGUGUGUGACUGUUACUGUGUGUGACUGUCACUGCUUGUGUCAGUCUGUCACUGUGUGUGUCUGUCAGUGUGUGUGUGUGACUGUUAGUGUGUAUCUUUGUCUAUCUGUGUGUCUGUCAGUGUGUGUCUGUCUGUGUGUAUGUCUGUCUGUCUGUCAGUGUGUGUAUGUCAGAGAGUGUGUGUCUGUCAGUGUGUGUUGGUCAGUGUUGCGAUGGCCGCAGCUGGACAGUGGAGAACCUGGCGGGGCACGCAACGCCACAUUCUGACGUGACGUUAACAUGCUCCACCUUCACAGGUUUUCAAGUAGUAGCAGGAGGAUCCAUUUGGCACAGGAUGCGGACAGCGCCAUUGGGGGUAUACCAGAGGCUGGACUUCGCAUACUGGCAGCGGCAAUGUGAGUGGAGUCUGCUUGUUGGCUAAUAUUGUUUUUUUUGUUUUUGUUUUUAAAACAAGGGCUGGGGUUUACUAGAGGGGGUGCUGGGAUUUAGUAUAGAGGGGGUGCUGGGAUUUAGUACAGAGGGGGUGCUGGGAUUUAGUACAGAGGGGGGACUUUGAAUUAGUACAGAGGGAGGGCUGUGAAUUAGUACAGAGGGGGGACUGGUAUUUAGUACAGAGGAGGGACUGGGGUUUAGUAGAGGGAGAUGCUGUUUUUUUUUAUAAUGUAAUUUUUAACACAAACCUACUUUUCUAUGAAAAUUUAAGGUGUUUUUUUUUGGCGGCCCACAUAAACUUUUUUUUUUUUUUUUUUUAAUUCUUUAUUUUAUUUGUGCAUGAAGUAACAACAAGCGUGCAGAGCCACGACAGCCACUGCAAGCAGAUUCAUAGCAUUUCAAAGUGUGGCAGGUUAAACAGCACAUUUUUUUUUUUCCCUCAUGAAAAUAACAUGCUAUAAAACAUUUGUGGUUUGCAAUAAACAUGCUAUGCUAAAUGUGUAUAUAACAGAAUUGUUCUCGCUUAAUGUUAUGGUAAGGUGUGUAGCACUGCAAUAUUUGUGUGGACAGGCGUUUAUAACCAAGUCAACAUUGCAGCAAUUCAGGCUCUCGCUUGGUUAUUUAUAUUUGACAUUAUAAAUCAUGCCGCAGCGCGGUUCGUUGAGCUAGUUUGUGCGUUGCUUGUAGGGUUGCUGUGUGAGUGCGUGUUUAUGAAUGCCAUGUAAACUUUGUGUGCAUAAACUUACUACAUAUUCAGUCAAGUCUAGCUACAAGAGAUCAGAACGUGAGCUAGCAUAAGAAAUAUAACUGAAAUGCAUACAUUUAGUUUUGUGACUCAGAUAACUAGCUAGAUAUGGAGGUAUGAGUAGUUAUCACAUUAGGUUGACAUGCUAAUAAACCGUGACAGGCUAAUAUUCCACUGGGUACCACACUGUAGAGAUUUUAGAUUCCAUCAACACACUGUAUAGAUAAAAUAAAGAGAGAGCUUGAAUAGAACAGGAUUGAACCCCCUGCACCCCCUGCUCGUAGAGAAAACAAAAAUUAAUAACGGCUAACCAGCUGAACAUAAUUUCGAUUAAUACCAGAGUAAGCAUAUGAGAGUUUGUGGGUAUGUUCACUGGGCGCAGAUACCAAAUCGGGUAGGUAGUUGAGUCUCUCUGGAAGACAGAGCGGUGUGCCAACGGCUGUUCUCACUUGCCCCAUGCUGAUCAUGUUGUGCCAUCUCUUCCUGUUUCAUGCAUGGCAGCGUCGUUCCCUCUCCCAGUCUUGAGCUCAGGUGUGGAGUAGUGGGUGGUCGGCUGGGGUCCGGCCCAGAUGUGUGUCUUGUGCUUUCCCAGCUCGGUAGAUGAGCUGCUGAUCCCGACCUUGCCAGGGAGUAGGCUGGUGGCGGUCUGGUGCCGUUGGGCCUCCCUCCAGAGUGUACCGCUACCAUGUGGGGUGCCAUAUCGCCUGGAUUGAGGCUUGGGUAGGUAGAACCUGGUAGCUGGUUACAGGUGUUGCUGGGGCCAGGGGUUCGCUCAGUCCCCUUGUUGGUAGCGAGGGGUUUCUCUGGGUGCUGCGUGGCGGUUAGUCCAUGCGGCGGCCAUUUAUAAGAUUUGGGGCAGUUGGAGUGCGCCCUGCAGGCUUUGUUGAGGGCCGCGCCGGUAUCCUCCAGUGGAGACCGGGAUGACCCCCCCGGUCCAAAGGGGGGGGGGGAGGGCCUGUGAGAUGUGCCAUAGAGUAGUCGUGUGGCAGCCAGGAAGGUGAGCAGGGCGGCGUCCGUCCGUCCCGCUUCUCUCCCAUGAAGGCCGCAAGCUCCAAAGCCUUGUCUAGCCCGUGGGGCCCCAAAGCUCCCGAUCUCAGAGCCUGCUGUUGUGCCCACUUCAGCUCUAGCACAGAGCAGUUCCCCUCUGGCUCGAAUUAAGGCUGUGAGUGCCAGAUUAUCUUUCAAAAAGGUUACUUUCUGCAGGAGCCUCACCCGCAUGCGACCGGUCAGCAUGGCGGGCAGGCCCCGCCCCCCACAUAAACUUAAACCUUGUUUAUGUGGCCUGUGCUAGCCUUUAAGUUUGACAUGCUUGGUGUAACUGAAUCCCAAUAUUUGUUUGCUAAGAUAAAUCAGUUUAAGUAGCCUUGCAAAACUUUAAUCUGUGAUAUUUAAUCCUUUUUUCUGUGUUUAUUUGGAAUCCAGACAUUAUUCCUAUUGGAUUGAGCACCCUUCCCAUCCACUGUAGGUGCCCCUUUGGAGGUGACCAGAGGAAAGCAUUAAUUGAGGAGUUUCUGAAGGCAGUUUAAAAAUAUUGCAGUUAGCAUGUUGAUCUUCCAUGUAAAAUUAGUGUAGGACUACUGUGGGUACUCAGUGGUGUAAAUGGUAUUAUAAAGUGUCAUGACUCAAAAUAGUAUUGUGUGCCUUUUUAUAAAUAUUUUAUUAGUGCUAUGAACAGAACAGUAAUCUAGUUUAUGGUAUAUACUCACUUUAUUAUAAUGAUUUGUGUUUUUGUGUUUUAUUUGGACAGUACUCUCUGAAUCCAGUGUUGAGACAGCUUGAUUUUAGGAAAAAAAUACAUAGGGCAAUAAACUCUUACACUAAUAAAACAUUCUCACAUUUAGACCACAGCAUAACAUAAUACUAUUGUGUUUGUGUUUGGGUGAGACGUAUAUCAAUCAAGAAGUAAGCCCUUGGUAUUUACUAUCUGGGUAUGUUUUCACAUUGACGUCAACCUGUGCCUGCCUAAGCGUGUCCCUCUUUAAAUCAGAAACAUUGGCUAAAUGAACAAACAUAUCGGUACGGAGAAUUUUUUUCAUUUUCAGACAAGCUGGAACUGUGUGAAAGGCCUCUGGCCUUCACAGCUCUAUACCUAAAGAUAAGCAUGAGAAAUUUUGAGUUUAUAUCUGCUCAGUGUGGUUGUCUAUUAAGCUAUUGACUCAAAAAUACAUAUUUACAAAGGAAAAUUUCAAAACAUACAUAUACAAUAUGGAGAACACCCAUGCAUAUUUAGAAACACACCAGCUUAAAGGGACACUAUAGUCACCAGAACAACUACAGCUUAUUGAAUUUGUUCUGGUGAGUAUAAUCAGUACCUUCUAGCUUUUUGCUGUAAUCACUGCUUGUUUCAGAGAAAUUGCAGUGUUUACAUUACAGCCUAGUGAUAACUUCACUGGCCACUCCUAAAAUGGCUGUCAGAGAUCCUUCCUGGGUCAUGGCUGCCUAAAAUGCAUCCAAACAUUUAGUAUCUCCACCCUCUGCAUGCAGACACUGAACUUUCCUCACAGAGCUUCAUUGAUUCAAUUCAUCUCUAUAAGGAGAUGCUGAUUGGCCAGGGCUGUGUUUGAAUUGUGCUGGCUCUGCCCCUCUUUGUCAGUCUCAGCCAAUCAUAUGGGGAAGCAUUGUGAUUGGAUCAGGCUACCACUUCUGCUGAUGUCAGCAGGCAGUGGGCAGGUCUAAAGGAAACAGGGACAAAUUAAGCAGCUGCAGACUUGAAUACAAGUAAGAGUUUACUAUAUUUAGGGAGGCAUGAGUGGACCAGGGGGCCUAGAUGAUGGUUUUAACCGUAGGGUAUACAUGUUUGUGUUCCUGACCCUAUAGUGCUCCUUUAAUUAGGUUGAUAUACAUUUGGAAGAAGUAAUACUAUUCUGAGAUGCACCAAAGACAAUGAUGGAAGGAUUAAACUGGAAGAGGAAUGGAAGAGAAACUUUUUAAAAUGAAAUCAAGCUAUUAAAAUGAUACACUUUGAAAACUAACUUCCACAAGAAUAAAUACUUUAGGAUUAAGUAACAAAAACCUAGUUUACUUGACUGUAUCUUUUGCAAAUACAAAAUAUGAUGCCAGUCAGUAUAGUACUGUUGUGCUCAGUGCAUGUACAUGAAUAGAAUGGAGUGGUCAUGAAAAAUGUGCUAAAUAAUAAUAUAAAAUAUAAGUUCCCAUCUGUAGCCUUUAUCCCUAUCCAGCAAGGGUGCAAAGACCUCAAUUAUUCAAAAAGCCAACAAAAGUCUGAUGAAAAAAAAAAUUAGAUAAUGACCAUUAAUUGCAACCUUUCACUGGUGACCAUUUUGACUUAUAUAUAGUGGUAACUGGUUCACCGACCAGAAAGGACAGUUAUUAUGUAGUAAUGUGUGACAAUUUAGAUCAAAAUAGCAGGACGAUGUACAAGUGAAGCAAGGAGUAGAAUAGCCAUAAUGAGUUGUCACCAGUAGUGUACCUAGGGUAUAGCAAGUAUGGCACAUGUCCUGGGCGCAACCUGAAGGGGGGCACCACUGAGAAUUUUCUAUUAAUUAUAUCACCCAAUGCCUGGGACAUGAGAUUCUGGGCGCCGACAGUUUGUUUUAUUCAAAGCAAACAGAAGGAUCAGCGCAGUACAACCAAAUAGAAAAGAAUAAGCAGCAGCAAACCUAAAAAACGGGGCUCCCUCAAUGACCCAACAGAAAUAGAAUAAUGCAGCAAAACAGGAAAAGGUUACACCAAUGAGAAAGCCAAUAGUGCAAUAUGUUCUAAUAUUAUGUGCUACGUUUAAAGUGCAAGUCUUAUAUGGUCCUACUCCGCUAGAGGUGGUGGGUGAGGAGAGACCACUAUGGGAAGGGGGAGUGAGGAGAGACCACUAAGGGUCUGGGUGAGGAGAGACCAUUAGGGAGAGGUGGGGGGAGAAGAGAGACCACUAAGAGAAGGGGAGGGGGUUGAUUAUGGACCACUAGGGUAGGGGUCGGGGAUGAGGAGAAACCAAUCAGGGAGGUUGGGGGGGGUGGAGGAGAGACCACUAGGGUGGGAUGCUGGGGGGAAGAGAGGCCACUAGGGGAGGGUGGGGGGUGGAGGAGAGAUCACUAGGGGAGGGGGGUGAGAAGAAACCAUUAAGGGUGAAGGGAGAGGAGAGACCACUAAUGGGCAAGCCGACCCAUGCCACCUAUGCAUGUCAGCCUGGCAUCAAUCUCGCUAGGCUGGUAGACUACCUUCUGGCAGCCCCCAGCAUACAGGACUGUGCAGAGAGUGCUGCUGAAUCGCUUUCUGCAUGGUUCUAGUAAUGUGGCACAGCUCAAGCAUGUUUAAUGACACAAUCUAGGAUAAUGUGAAACAGCAAUUGCCUUCCUAUGACGAUGUUAAUUACCAAAUGUACUAAAGCUAUGUAAGCAAGUAUAUCUGUGAAAGUAUGUGAAUGGACUACUGGUCAAACUAAGAUUUGUCUCUAUUGUGACCUCUUCAAUUGUCAUCACUUAUAGGUACAAAGGAUUCCUAUCUCUUCCUCAUGAAGAACUGAUGGUAGGCAUGUGAGGACUGCAUCCCUGCUGUUCCACCACCCGCAGCAUGACUUCUAUCAGUUCAUUGAGCAGUCACCUGUGUGAUGAUUGGAACUGCUCCUCCUGGUGGAAAUAAUGCUCAUCCCAUAAUAUCCUCCUGGGCAGAGAUUUAUUGGAUGAGAUCAGAGUCUAUUCAUAGAAUGAUUGGAGCGUCUCGUCAUGGUGAGGGAGGGUUGGCCUGAAGCUGCAGACGUUGUGUUUGAGCAGGUGUUUCAGGAUUUUGGAAGUUUAAUAUUUUGUAAAUAGACUUUUAAUUUUUUUUUGCACAAAUUUUUUAAAGGAAUUAUUUAAUGUCUUUUUUUUAAAGUAUAUGGCCAGUGGCC